rnacentral:rRNA from 1 species
AUUGAACGCUGGCGGCAGGCCUAACACAUGCAAGUCGAGCGGAGCGGCGGACGGGUGAGUACUGCCUAGGAAUCUGCCUGGUAGUGGGGGAUAACGUCCGGAAACGGGCGAUAAUACCGCAUACUAUCAGAUGAGCCUAGGUCGGCUUAGCUAGUUGGUGGGGUAAAGGCCUACCAAGGAGACGAUCAGUAACUGGUCUGAGAGGAUGAUCAGUAACACGGGAACUGAGACAGGGUCCAUACUCCUACGGACGGCAGCAGUGGGGAAGAUUGGACAAUGGGCGAAAGCCGGAUUGAGCCAUGCCGCUUAGAUGAAGAAGGCUGUCGGGUGGUAAAGUACUUUCAUCGGGGAGGCGUUACCCGCAGAAGAAGCACCGGCUAACUCCGUGCCAGCAGCCGCGGUAAUAC